rnacentral:lncRNA from 1 species
CUCGAUGUCCUCAGCCGCCUUGUGCGCCAGCAGGAAGUGCGCCGGAGGGUGCCGGCGCAGGCCCUCGAGGACGACGGCCUUGAGGUACGGCAUCCUGUGCGUGUCCUCCUCGCCAACCUCCUCUUGCUCGCCGCCGCACGCCGCCUUGAUCUCACCGUAGAGCUUCUCCUGGAUGGCCGGGUUCUUGACGAGCUCCGCCAUGAUCCACUGCAGCGCCGUGGACGUCGUGUCGGUCCCGGCGGUGAGGAACUCGGAGCAGAGGUUCACCAUCUCUUCGUCGGUCAGCGCGCGGUUCCCCUCGUCGGCGAGCCUGAUGUCGAGCAGCGUGUCCACGUACGAGUG